GGUUCAUGUAAUUCCACUAAAUUCAAGUUAUACGAUGCCAGUUCUCUAAAAUGAAACCAGUAGCUUCAUUUCUGGCCUUUCUUAGUCUUCCUCUUCCCCGCUAGACACAGCUCCUGUGAUCCUUCCAGCCCCUGUCACUCGCACAUAUCACGGACCCGCCCUUUCGGCCCUAACGCCCUGUUGCCAGACCAUGCAAGUGUGACAGCAGGGCCGCUCCAGUUCCGGAGAGCUGGGAACUCAGACGUGCACCACUCACUGGAAGAGUUCUGGCUUUGUUGCCUAAUGGAAGGCAAACCUUAAAAUCCCUUGAGCCCUGGAGGAGCCCUCACAUGGCACCGGGACUUCAGAUCACAGGACUGCCCGAGGGCAGGACCCCCGUCCCCAGCCCCCACACCUUGUACAGGAGAACGAUGGCCACGCUCGAGCAUCCUGUGCUGUGGUGCUGUCAUCCACACCAGUCUGCAGGCCGUGAAAGGUCUCUGCCAUUUUCUGAUGGGACUAUGUAUGCUACCGUCCACAAAGAAAACAGAGGUGCGUUUCUAGGGAGAAGUGCCCCCAAACCCGAUACGGGUGUGCUUUGGGGCUGAACUUACUGAGGCUUUUGAAGACCUAGAAGGACGACUCUGGACCGCCGGUGCCUGUCGGAGCUGAGCCUACAAGAGCUUUCAGCUCCCUCGUCACUCCCUACUUUUCUAGCUCAGGGGCAGUCAUGACUUUCCUACCAAAGGAAAGAGAAGGAAAGACUGCAAAGGGGACAGUGGUAUAAGAGGUGAUCCCUCUUCCUUUCUAAGAUACUUUAAGAAUAAUCCAGUAUCCUUCAAGUCACUUGUCCCUGUUUUGGAAAAUAGCAUGGGGGUUGGGAGGCAAACUUGAUCCUGUCCUCAACCCAGGUACGGCUCACCAAGAACAGAUUAGCUUGGGGCAGGAGCUGUGUGCUCACUUCGAAGGGCAGGCAAGGUAAGAACCCAGGCCCUGGGAAUGGGGGGACCAGCAGCCCAAGGCCAGCUGAGGUGGGCAGGAGGCAAAGGACUGGCAAGAGGAUUCCACCAAGGCUGCAGCUUUGGCAGAAGAGAAGCCCUCAGCUCCACGUAUCUUGUCCACGGAAGCUCUUCGGUCCUGGGUUCCAUCACCACUGCUCCUCUGGAGAAGCCAUGCCCUGGGAACCAGAGAAGGAACCAGCUGCUGCUUCACAGAAAGAGUGUCUAUUCCUGGUCACAUUUCCUUACUGACAAAACACAGGAAUUUUAAGUGUUGACUCAACUGUGCUCCCGAGAAGAAAUAAGAGGGGAAAAUUACCAAACGUAGACACUCUUUAAAUUUAAAACAUCUAUCCAGGAAAGCUGUAAUACUACCUCAGAAAGACCCGAAAGAAUUUUGUAAGCUAAAGAAAGGGGGAAGGGGAGAGUGUUUUUAUUUUCUCCUCUGAUUUAAUGGUUUUCAAAAGCUUGAGCAUGAACCACGGGUGAAGCACAAGUCAACAGUGACUUUUUACUCCUAAUAUCACAUCACUAUCCCUCAGUUACUCUAAUGGAACUCUAAAAGAAGAGCAUUCUGCAUCCAUACCUGCCUCAGUCCAAAAAUACGUAAAGCAGUUCCUUUUUUAAAAGCGUAUACUACAUAUCUGAGUGAGGAAAUCAGAGCAAGGGGAAAUGAAGGGAAAGAUGAAGGCAGAAGUAAGGUCAGUAGCCUCACACGUGCCCUGAGGUCUUCUAGACUUUACUAGGAUGAAGGGGGAAAAUUACCACCGAGCUUCCUAGUUGCCAACGUCAAGAGGGACAUUUGGACACAGAAACAGACACACACAGAGGGAAACAGAUGUGAAGACACACGGGGAAAACGCCACAUGAAGACAGAGGAUUAGACUGAUGCAUCUGGGAGCCCAGGAACGCCUGAGGCUACAAGACGACACACGUGGAACAGAUCCUUCCCUGGCACCUUCAGAGAACACCGGGGCCUGCUGAGACUUGGACAGACCAGACUUCUGGCCUCCAGAACCAGGAGGCAAUCAAUUUCUGUUGUUUUAAGCCACCCAGUUUGUGGUACAUUCUUAUGGCAGCCCUAAGAAACUAAUACACCCAAUAUUUGGAUCCAACAGAUUGAGCUGAAAGCCAGCUAAAUACACAUAUUUUCGGGGCACCUGGGUGGCUCGGCCGUUAAGCGUCUUUGGCUCAGCUCAUGAUCCCAGGGUCCUGGGAUCGAGCCCCGAAUCGGGCUCCCUGCUCAGCCAGAAGCCUGCUUCUCCCUCUCCCACUCCCCCUGCUUGUGUUCCCUCUCUCACUGUGUCUGUCAAAUAAAUAAAUAAAAUCUUUAAAAAAAAAAAAAAAAACACAAAUUUUCAAAGUAUUCAGGUUGUAACACGGGACCUGAAACUGAGGUUUUUCAACUGUGUGUCUUGAUUCCAGAGUCACUUUGUAAUUGUUGUUUUAUAAUCAUUCCACUGAUUAAAAAAAUACUUAACUGGGGAUAAAGGAAUUAUCUUUCUACUCUAGUAUCAAAAAGAUCCUCUCCUGGGGAGCCUGGGUGGCUCAGGCAGUUAAGCGUCCAGCUCCUGAUUUCGGCUCAGGCCAUGAUCUCAAGGUCAUAAGAUUGAGCCCCACAUCGGUCUCUGUGCUCAGCGGGGAAUCUGAAAGAUUCUCUCCCUCUGCCCCUCCCCCUACUCUCUCUCUCAAAUAAAUAAAUAAAUCUUUAGAAAGAGCCUCUCUUGUGAAUAUAGGUAAGGAUCAUUCCUUGCCCUUGUCCACUUCUAUGGGCAAGCUGGCCUACAAAGCUGACAGCCAGAAGACAUUCUGUACU